UCAAAUGGAUGCUGCAAUUAUUCCAUAAACCCUAGAAACGUAUAGCAGCUAUGGUUUGAGGCCUACAAUCAUAACCGUCUUGUUUGUCUGUGAUAUGGAUUUGUCCUUCUCAUAGGAACUUUAUCUCCAUUAUAAACUGCUAGACACCAUUACAACAAGCUGUUUAUUAACACUUACCGAACAAAAACAAGCGCUUCUAAUAAGAAAACAAGACAAAAGAACAUAUACUAAAUUUUGGACAAAGUUCGAAUCCUGCAUCACAGACAUUUCAGAUCUACCCAAAAUAUACUAACCUAACGAAGGUCUAGACUCGGUGUCACAUAUUUUUACAGCAUGUCCUUUGGCUUUGGGAGUGUGGGAGAAAGUCAGCUUUUGGUGCAGGAUCCAAAACUUUUUCGUCUUCUCGUUCAGAGAUCUGUUGGAGAUUCAUAAUGUGGGGAGCAAAGGAAAGUCGGAGAGGGAAGCUAUUUACGGUAUUAUUCUCACCACGUGUUGGGUGCUGUGGAAAGCUAGAAACAAAUUGCGUUUUAACCGGAUUAGAAGUAAUGUGGACGAGAUAUUUAGAGAGAUAAGGGUCGUUAGUUUUUUCUGGUUCAAGCAUAGAGCUAGGAAAGGUGUUUUAGAUUGGAAAGAUUGAUGUAAAUUUGUAAUCAUGUAGUUGUUGUUGGUUCCGGCCCGGUUUUCGGGUUCGGCGGUGUUAAUGAAGUUUAAUUUUCAAAAAAAAAAACUAUUGA
rnacentral:lncRNA from 1 species